CUGUAGGGGAGUAAAUCUUCUGCCAGUUACCUGAAUGGGCAAGGGGGUAUUUGCCGGGGAUUCCCAAAGAGCCAUGACGUGGUGACGAAAACACUAGUCCCACGGCUUGCCAGUCCCUCUCCUGUAUGAAUACUCCGGGGUGUGAAGGCAUCAUCUCAGCUCAGAGGGAACGCACUCAUAAACUAUUGCAGAUUAUGGCCGGAAGACCAUGCCUUGGAAAUGUACCUGCUCCUAGCAGACAUCAAGUCAGAUUCCGAGAAGCCGACAAGGACCUUAAAAUCGUCAGAUCGUCUCUCCCGCUCUGCAGAUAAGGAAAGGGAGGCUCUGGGAGGGGAAAGCGGAGCUUGGUGCAGCCA